rnacentral:lncRNA from 1 species
GGGAGAAAAGCACUAACCAGGGGAACUAAAACAGAGGCAAUCCAGGCCAAGUUGGGCUGGUGGCAGAUAUCUGCUCCUUACGCUCGGGUGCAUAAUGCGACUCACCACAGUGCCUUUUUCACAGACCCUUUUUAAAGUUUCUCCACAAAAUCCAACAGCUCAGGUUAGUUCAUGACGCUUCAAGGUCAACAAUCGUCAAGAGAAAAACAUGCAAUAUGUCUUACAAUGUUGGAUUCCUUACAAAUAGGACAAGGAGAUAACCAUGUAGACAAAACCAGAGCAUUCGAAAACAUCUGUACUCUACAAACAUACCAGUGAAUGCUAUAAAUAAGGUAAUAUGACAUAAAACAAAAUGAAAACUAGAUGUGAGACUGUUCUCUUCAGUGUACAGACUUCAUGGCAGUUGCUGCACUAUCUAGCUACUUAGAUCUAUAACUCUCUGUUCUGUUAAUACAAAAUGAGGCCCAAGUGUGUCAACUUGUUCCCACAGAAACCAAAAAAUCUACAUGCAUCUCUUUUCUCCUGUGCCCUUUCACCUUACCUGCUCCCAAUUCUCCACCAACGUCCCCUCUUCUCUUCUCUAAUUAUUCUCCUCUUCAUUUUGCUUGGCCUUGCACCCAAGCAUGCAAGACAGAGAGUCCUAGAGGUCCAAGAUUCUAGAGUGGCUCUUUGCAAGGGGGAGGAGAUUACAGUAACUGCCACACUGUAUAUACUUCUGUGCAAAGAAAAAGGGACAGUGUUCAGAAUGUCUCUCACAUAUAACAAGAGCUGGAUGGCAGGAUACCUGUGUGGCCCAAGGAACUAGAGCUAGCAAAUUAUGGGCAAAACAAUUGCAACCAAAGGCUGGAAGAGGAAAGGUCUGCAACCAGCUCUGUCUUCUAGCUCUCUGGUAUUUGCUGCCAACGGGCAGAGUCUAUUUCGUGAAGCAUCAAGCACUGAAAAGAAGACUCCUGCUGCUGGAAGUUGACAGGAAGUAACAUCCAAUGCAAGAUCAAGGCUUGUCCUAGAAGCAAUGCCCAUAAUGG